GUACUGUCGGCGCCAUGGUCGGCGCGGCGUCAACACCCCUAAUACCAUCAUCAGUAAUUAUCUUGUCAACUGCACGAAGCGCGUGUAUUGCGGAGCAUUUAAAAGUUUCAGCAACGGUAUAGAGAAAUUUCUCUUUGACAACGGUGCCAAGAGCUUUCCUGACAAGGCUUCUCCCAUCGGCGCCCUCUGCAAUGGCCUUGAACAAUGAGUUUGUGCUGCAAAGCAUCAUCACAUUCCACCCUGUCACGGAAGGUACCACAGCUCAAGCAUAUCACGGUGUACAUGAGAAGUACGCUCCUAGUCACAGGCGCCACCACAGGUAUGCUUUUAUGACCACUGCUUCAGACCGGAUGAGUGCUACUGCCCUUGCGCAGGAAGGGAAACCUGCCAGCUGACCUUUAAUGGCGACGACUGAUCAGGGCCAAAGCAGAAGUCGCCUAUUUCAUAUGAUGGACAAAACCAGAAGCCAGCAGUACCUGGUGGACACCAGAAUGGAAGUCAGCAUCAUUCCUACACAACAUUCUGACUUGAACGACACCGCCGACCUCUUACCUUCAAGCUGUCAAUGGUAGCAGGAUCCCUAUUUACAAAUCAUGUCCCUUCAUCCUGAACCUUGGCCUGUGUUGUGUGUUCCGUUCGGUUUUCCUCGCCGCUGAUGUUCACUAUGCUCUCGUGGGCACCGACUUCGUGAACUACCAUGGACACACUGCUACGUUGCUCUCUGUUCAUGGCACUGUUUCUCCUGACCCACCUAUAUUCGCCCCAACCAUAACAGUUGCUGGUAAUCCUUUUGCUUGUCUCCUUCAAAAGUUCCCAAACCUCAUGUCACCAUCUGACUGAACAAAACCAGUGCAACAUGAUGUUCGUCAUCACAUCCUAACAACUGGCCCACCUGUUUUUGCUUGCCUAUGAAGACUUGCAUCGGACAAACCUAAUAUUGCCCAAGCAGAGUUCGAACACGUGUUGGAACUUGAAAUUAUAUGGCCAUCAUCAGUCUCCAUUCCAUCCACCUGUUCCCCAAGAAAUCAGGUGACUGGAGGUCAUGCAGGCACUACCGAUCCCUGAACGCAAAAACGAUUCCUGAUAGGCACCCACUGCCUAACAUCCAAGGUUUCCUGUCAUCACUGGAGGGCAAAACAAAAUUUUCAGAAAUUGAUCAGGUGCGAGCCUUUCACUAAAUUCCUGUCGCAGAAGACAUUCCGAAAACGGCAGUUACCACCCCACUUGGUUUCUCAAUUUUUUAGAAUGCCAUUCAGUCUCUGAAAAACUGCACAGGCAUCGAUGCAGCUCAUCGACUCAGCCACAUGUAGUUUGCCGUUUGUGUUCAUCUAUGUUGACAACCUGCUUGUGGCAAGUUCAUCCCAUGAAGAGCACCUCCAGCACCUCCAUCAGCUUUUCGACUCCCUAUCGGCAGAUGGCAUGAAUUAUCUACCCUAUCAAGAGUGAGUUCUGAAUACCAUCACUUGAUUUUCUCAGCCAUCGUUUGGAUGACAAUGGCACCUGCCCUCUUCAUCACAAUGUGCAAGCCGUCGUCAAGUUCCCUAAGCCACCUUCAAUCACUAAGCUACGUCAGUUUCUAGCCUUGGUAAGGUUUUACGGCCGAUUAAUUAGAAACUAAGCUAGAAAUAUGCUGCGGGCACCCCUCUAGCAUUUGCUCUGCGGCAAACACUCGUCAACUGCACUACUCUGGGACACCCUGGCAGAUGAAGCUUUCAAUUCCACCAAGCAUGCUUUCGCCGAUGCCAUAAUGCUGUCUCAUCCCAACCCAAGCUACCCAUUGUCACUUUUUAUUGAUGCUUUUAGCUGU